rnacentral:rRNA from 1 species
CUACGUAGGUGGCAAGCGUUGUCCGGAAUUAUUGGGCGUAAAGCGCGCGCAGGCGGUCUCUUAAGUCUGAUGUGAAAGCCCCCGGCUUAACCGGGGAGGGUCAUUGGAAACUGGGAGACUUGAGUGCAGGAGAGGGAAGCGGAAUUCCAUGUGUAGCGGUGAAAUGCGUAGAGAUAUGGAGGAACACCAGUGGCGAAGGCGGCUUCCUGGCCUGUAACUGACGCUGAGGCGCGAAAGCGUGGGGAGCAAACAGGAUUAGAUACCCUGGUAGUCCACGCCGUAAACGAUGAGUGCUAAGUGUUAGGGGGUCUCCACCCCUUAGUGCUGCAGCUAACGCAUUAAGCACUCCGCCUGGGGAGUACGGUCGCAAGACUGAA